rnacentral:rRNA from 1 species
AGUGAACGCUGGCGGUAGGCCUAACACAUGCAAGUCGAACGGCAGCACAGGAGAGCUUGCUCUCUGGGUGGCGAGUGGCGGACGGGUGAGGAAUACAUCGGAAUCUACUUUUUCGUGGGGGAUAACGUAGGGAACCUUACGCUAAUACCGCAUACGACCUACGGGUGAAAGCAGGGGACCUUCGGGCCUUGCGCGAUUGAAUGAGCCGAUGUCGGAUUAGCUAGUUGGCGGGGAAAAGGCCCACUAAGGCGACGAUCCGUAGUUGGCUCUGAGAGAAUGAUCCGCCACACUGGAACUGAGACACGGUACAGACUCCUACGGGAGGCAGCAGUGGGGAAUAUUGGACAAUGGGCGCAAGCCUGAUCCAGCCAUACCGCGUGGGUGAAGAAGGCCUUCGGGUUGUAAAGCCCUUUUGUUGGGAAAGAAAUCCAGCUGGCUAAUACCCGGUUGGGAUGACGGUACCCAAAGAAUAAGCACCGGCUAACUUCGUGCCAGCCGCCGCCGUAA